rfam:Cathartes aura contig80760, whole genome shotgun sequence.
GUUAAAAGCUAGGGCUAGGACUUGGAGGAUGUGUAGGCAAACGGAAGGAGAGCCGGGGGAAGAAAAACCGAAAUGGAUUCAUUCUCUGUCCUGGAUGGAGGAGGAGAGGAGAAGAGAAGGGGACGUGCGAGCUUCCUUCAACUGCCUCUGUCCGGUG